rnacentral:lncRNA from 1 species
CGGUGAUGCAGGUGUGACACCCGCGGACUCCUGCCUCGGCCCGGAUCGCCCCAGCGCCGCGUGAGCUCGAGCUGCUGGCGGGGCCGCCAGGGCGGACGCUGCCCCGCCGCACCCGGAGGCGGCCGCCCGCGGACUUCCCACCCAGGGUUGGGCGAGCAAAUGCGUUCAGCCAGGGAGGAGCGAGGCACUGCCGUUUCUUCCGCAGACGGGUGUUAGAGAUCUCUGCUGUCCAGGGUUCAGCCGGGCUGCUGAAACACGAUCCUUUAUCCAGAAGUCACAGAUGCAAACUAGCUCCGUUUAAAGAUAUGUGCACCAGGCAGCAUUCUGGCUGCUGGGAUACAAUGCGGAAAGGCAGAUGGGAUCCCAGCCCCGUGGAACAUACCUUCUCAUGUGUGAGAGACAGACAAGAAGCAAGGAACUGAGAAAUGAAUGAGAUCAUGUCAGGUGGGGACAAGUGAUAUGGAGAAAUAGGAUAGGGUGAUGGGUAGACCUGGGGGGUGUGGG